CAUGUUUUUUAGCAAACAGCCGCUACCAAACGCUUCAGUCUAUAAGCGACAACGUGUACGAGCGGUCGCGUUCUUAUUCUUUUGCCCGCUAACAACUCUAACCAUUUACUCAAAAAAAUAUUAGUAUAUUACCAAGCAGAGAGCUAAGUUGAAAAAAAAAUUCGUAAAGCAAUAACAGCGCCGCUUUUGAGAAAAAAUACGCAGUAAAAAAAUUUUCGAGAAAAACAAAAACGCGCGCUUCAUUUAAAGUAUUAUAAGCUUUUUGCCCAUCGAAUAAGAGUGUUUUUUGUCGCGCGUGUAAGUCUCUGAAACGCGUUGAUAUUUCGAUCGGUUUUAUAAUUUGUUUCUUUGAAAAGCUGUUCAGCGUGCUUAAACCGCGCGCCAAUUUAUGCCUUAGCCAGCGCCGCUUAGUAACCCUAUGCUUAACAAGCGCCUUAGCAGCGCCGUCUUGUCUAACCAAAAACUAGUUGUGUAAGCGCUCAACUGGGUUUAGGAAACGCUUGCUUUAAACGCGUGUUGAACUGCAUGCAAACUAAGCGCAUUUGUUACCAAAACAAACAAAGCCUCCAAAAGCUAAAUAAAUUUCAAACAAACACUUGUCAUAUGCCACCUAACAGCUGCUGCUUGCCUACUUCCGUUGCUUUGCAAAAAUAUUCAAAUAAUAUUUAAAGUGAAGGAAACGCAUUUCCUUAACCAAACGAACCAGCAAACAAACGACCAGGCAGUUAUUUUCCCCACGCCGCGCGCCAACGGAAAUAGUGAAUUCUAUAAAGUAUUUUUGCUAUUGUUGUAAAUGAAUGUGUGUGAAAUUUUCGGCUGCAACCUUUCUAUGUGAACUGCCCCUACAGUCGCGAAUUGCUUUACCUCCAGCUCUCUUGGUGUAUAUGUUCGUGCGUCGCAGCUGCGUCUACUUAACGCGCGUCCGCAUUUGAAAAGAAUUUUAAUUGUGCAUUAAAUAGUGGCAUAAAGAAAGUACUACAGCUAAAUAGUUAAAUUCAAAUCCUGAAUAAAAAUUUUGAAAUAUAAGCAAAUUGAAAAAAGUGAGCAAAUAACAGCAACAAAUUUCUGAAACAUAAAUUUAGUGCAAUAUUUUGAGAAUUUUCUUACAUCCAUGACAUAAGAAGUUGUUUAUCUUAAAAAGAGUAUUGUUAAAUAUCAAGCUGAAGGCGCUGAAGUUUUGUUGCAAGUAUUUAUUGCGUUUAAUUAAAUUGUGUGGAAAACGGGAAAUACACCAGAAAGCAAGAGAGACUUUCUGGAAAAUAAUCGUUAUCGAUAGAUAAGUGUAGCUAAAUAGUGACUAACAUUUGACUAAUCGCAAAAUUCCAAAAAAAAAAGUAGAGCAAAACUAACAAAAAAAAAUACACAUUUACUAACAGAAAAUUGUUGAAAAAUUAAACAAAAUAAAGUAAAAUAAAAUAAAUUUAUAUAUUUAUUAAAACUAAAUUCAAUCAGUGUUUUUACUUCAAAGCAGAAUUAAAAUUAAA